AUGCAAAGCGAAAUCUGGCUGCUAUGGGCGACGCUUUCCGCCGCGCUCCUUUACUACCUGAGGAACGUAGCCCGCCGGGGCACCGGACGGCUACCUCCGGGUCCCAGGCCGCUCCCGGUCCUCGGCAACCUACUGGACCUACGAGGCAACCUCCACCACACGCUGGCGCGUCUCGCGCUCGCCCAUGGCCCUGUAAUGAUGCUCAAGCUUGGCAUCACGGCCACAGUUGUAGUCUGCUCGCGUGACGCCGCGAGGGAGGCCUACACCAAGUACGACCGGCACCUCGCCGGGCGUGCCAUUCCGGACGUGGCAAACGCUCUCGGCAACUCCAAGCGGUCCAUGAUAUGGCUGCCAGGCUCUGACCCGCUCUGGCAGACACUGCGUGGCAUCGUGGCCUCGCACAUAUUCUCCCCCCGCGGCCUCGCCAUGGUGCGUGGCGUACGCGAGCGCAAGGUGCGCGACAUGCUGGUCUACUUCCGCCACCGUGCAGGUCAAGAAGUGGACGUCGGGCAUGGCGUGUAUGGGGGCGUGCUGAACCUCAUGUCGAGCGCCUUCUUCUCUGUGGAUGUGGUCGACCUGGGCGGCGAGUCCGCCCAUGGGUUACGGGAACUGGUGGAGGACAUCAUCACGGCUCUCGCGAAGCCCAAUGUCUCUGACAUCUUCCCUUUCCUCCGGCCACUCGACUUGCAAGGGUGGCGUCGAUGGGUGGCGGGGCGCUACGGGAAAGUCUUCGGCAUACUUGAUGACAUAAUUGGCCGACGUUUGUCUUUGCCAGGUGCCCUAACCACCAAGGGCAAGCACAAGCACGGCGACUUCCUGGACUCGCUGCUGGAGCUCGUUUCCAUAGGCAAGAUCGGCCGCGACAUGGCGACAACCAUGCUGUUCGACGUCUUCGCCGCCGGGACCGACACAAUCGCCAUCACCAUAGAGUGGGCGAUGGCCGAGCUGCUUCGGAACCCGCGCGUCAUGGCCAAGGUGCGCGCGGAGAUGGACGUCAAACUCGGCGGCAAGGACACCAUCGAGGAGCCCGACGCAGCGAACCUGCCCUACCUACAGGCCGUGGUAAAGGAGGUGAUGCGACUGCACCCGGUGUCGCCGAUUCUGUUGCCUCACCAGGCCGUAGAGGACGGCGUGGAGAUUGGUGGGUACACCGUGCCCAAGGGCUCCAGGGUAAUCUUCAACGUGUGGGCGAUAAUGCGGGACCCGGCGGCAUGGGAGAGGCCCGACGAGUUUGUGCCGGAGAGGUUCCUCGACAUGGCGGAUAUGGUGGACUUCCGGGGCAAGCACUUCCAGUUCAUACCGUUCGGCUCCGGCCGGCGGCUUUGCCCCGGGUUGCCGAUGGCGGAGCGGGUCGUGCCUUUCAUCCUGGCGUCGCUGCUGCACGCGUUUGAGUGGCGGCUCCCGGACGGCGUGUCCGCCGAUGAGUUGGACGUGUCCGAGAAAUUUACCACCGUCAACGCGCUCGCGGUCCCUCUCAAGGCCUUGCCCUUCGUGCUCACCUAA
rnacentral:rRNA from 1 species